UGAUCUUUUUAAAAGUAUUUGAUCGUCGUUUUAUCUGAUAUGGUCAGAGACACCCCCUUCUGGACAAAAGUCAGUAGAUAACUGCAUAUAUGACAUACAUGGGGUUUCAGCUGCAGCUAAGGAUCUUGACCCCGGUUGACUUGUACCGACUCUCAAAGGCACCUAAAUCCACCACCUUCGAUGAUUUGACUAGCUACAUGCUCCAUCAACUAAUGUUUAUGUUUCUUCACGCUCUUAGCCACCAACCUCGGUCUACCCCUCCUUCUUGGCAUAACAUAUGUAGAAAACAAACAAGGCCUCCAAACAUGAGAUACCACUGAUGGGGAGAUCACGUAAGGUUUUCGCUCUAUCUCCAUACAGUUACGAGCAAUAACAUUCCUAGCUGGUGUACGUAAUAGUAUAACAUACCUAGUUUCAGUUGCAAAACCUACUAUUAAUAGCAAACUGUAUCUUUAAAUCAAUUCAUUGUUGACUAGAAAAUAAAUACCAUUAAACAAAAUAUAUAAUGAAUAAACAUAGGUUCAAAUUGAAUUAAGGAGAACUAGUAGAUUGCAUGGUUUCAAAUAGUAUCAUAGAGGUUCAUCAUUCAAUUAUAAUCUAAUGAGUUUAGCUACUCAUAAUAGUAACAAAAUACAUAAUCGAAGGUUAAAGGAAUAAUACAUGCAAAUAGUGUGACAAUAAUCUUCAAUCUUGUUGACAAAGGUUGAAAAUCGCCACUUCAGGUCGUAGGGAUCGCACCUUAUGUCUUUUAAGUCUUCAAAAUUCAUAAUCAGUUGCAUCUGGAUGAAAUUUUGAAAUUAUAGAUAAUAUUUCAGUAUAUGCUUGCGCGUCGCGUAGGACUCUACGUGCGUUACAUGGGUUCAGUUGAACUAGCUUCACAGUUAGGCAUAAUGCAUAUCUAGCGUAGAUUAACAUUGUGUAAUAGUAUAAUCUGAAUCCAUGGGAGUUCUGAUUAGGGGAGGCAUUGUUAUAUAUUAGUACGUAGUCUAAUUAGAUGAUUAGUAAAGUUUUUGGCUUAAGUCUUGGCAGAUUACUUGGAAUACAAGCAACCUAGGCCUUGCAUCUAAUACUUGUACUUGGCUAUAAAUAAGCCUCUAUUCUAUCAUUGUGGAAUUGAUUGAAACACUCCUUAAAUCUCCCAAAAAUAGUUUGGAUUUACAGUGUUAGGCAUUGUCAUAUUAGUCUCUGACCAUAAUAAACCUACAAAUAAAUCUUCUUUGUUUUAACUUAGAGUGAAGUACGAUUGAAUUCUUUGCUAAUUGUUUAUCUUGAUCAUUGUACAGGGACAAGAACCAAGGGGUUUCUCCAUUUCUAGCAUAAUUAGAAUUUUUUUAUUGAUAGUGGAGGAGCUUAUCUCUCCCAGAGAUGUAGGAC
rnacentral:lncRNA from 1 species